AGGGUCUCCAUCGAGGGCGCGCGUCCACACGCCGGCUGCGGGGCUCUGGGGAGCAGGGGCCUGUGUUGAGGGGGUGUCCUGCAGGGCGCCAUCAGCCCAGUGCCCUCUACCGUGUGGCCGGAGGCUGUUCCGGGCCUGCCGUGGGGAAAACGCCGGCAGCUUCCUGGAGAGUUUGUUUUGGAACCGUGGCUUCUCUGAGAGCCCCUCAGAUGAGACAUAGCAACGUUCUUCCCUGGCUCCCAGCAUCGAAAUCCUGCUGUAACCCUGCCAGCUCUCCAGCCCUGCCGCAUUCCGCUGGGCGCUGCUUCUGUACCCAGCACACAGCACAAGGCCCCACACGUGGCAAGUGCUGCAAGAACAGUUUGCCGAGAACAACUGGACACUGGAAACAGCAUUUCAGAGCAAGAUAA
rnacentral:lncRNA from 1 species